GAUGAACGCUAGCUACAGGCUUAACACAUGCAAGUCGAGGGGAAACGACAUCGAAAGCUUGCUUUUGAUGGGCGUCGACCGGCGCACGGGUGAGUAACGCGUAUCCAACCUGCCCACCACUUGGGGAUAACCUUGCGAAAGUAAGACUAAUACCCAAUGAGAUCCCGCGAAGGCAUCCGAAUGGGAUUAAAGAUUUAUCGGUGAUGGAUGGGGAUGCGUCUGAUUAGCUUGUUGGCGGGGUGACGGCCCACCAAGGCAACGAUCAGUAGGGGUUCUGAGAGGAAGGUCCCCCACAUUGGAACUGAGACACGGUCCAAACUCCUACGGGAGGCAGCAGUGAGGAAUAUUGGUCAAUGGGCGAGAGCCUGAACCAGCCAAGUAGCGUGCAGGAUGACGGCCCUAUGGGUUGUAAACUGCUUUUAUAAGGGAAUAAAGUGGGUCACGUGUGACUUUUUGCAUGUACCUUAUGAAUAAGGACCGGCUAAUUCCGU
rnacentral:rRNA from 1 species